rnacentral:rRNA from 1 species
CCCGCACAAGCGGUGGAGCAUGUGGUUAAUUCGACGCAACGCGAAGAACCUUACCAGGGCUUGACAUCCCCUGACCGCGUAUGAAAGUACGUUUUCACCCUCGGGUGACAGGGAGACAGGUGGUGCAUGGUUGUCGUCAGCUCGUGUCGUGAGAUGUUGGGUUAAGUCCCGCAACGAGCGCAACCCCUACGUUUAGUUGCUAACGCGUGAAGGCGAGCACUCUAGACGAACUGCCGUUGACAAAACGGAGGAAGGUGGGGAUGAUGUCAAGUCAGCAUGGCCUUUAUAUCCUGGGCUACACACACGCUACAAUGGCCAACACAAUAGGUUGCUAAGCCGCGAGGUGGCGCCAAUCCAUAAAGUUGGUCUCAGUUCAGAUUGUAGGCUGCAACCCGCCUGCAUGAAGAUGGAGUUGCUAGUAACCGCAGGUCAGCUAUACUGCGGUGAAUACGUUCCCGGGGCUU